CAAACGACUCUCGGCAACGGAUAUCUCGGCUCUCGCAUCGAUGAAGAACAUAGCGAAAUGCGAUACCUGGUGUGAAUUGCAGAAUCCCGCGAACCAUCGAGUCUUUGAACGCAAGUUGCGCCCGAGGCCUUCGGGUCGAGGGCACGCCUGCCUGGGCGUCACGC
rnacentral:rRNA from 1 species